UAAGACGAACUGUGCAAACGUUAUUCGGAAUCACUGGGCUUAAAGGGUGCGUAGGCGGUCUUGUAAGUAGGGUGUGAAAGCCCCCGGCUCAACCGGGGAACUGCGUCCUAAACUGCGAGGCUAGAGUGAGGUAGGGGUGUGUGGAACUUCCAGUGGAGCGGUGAAAUGUGUUGAUAUUGGAAGGAACGCCGGUGGCGAAAGCGACACACUGGACCUUGUCUGACGCUGAGGCACGAAAGCCAGGGGAGCAAACGGGAUUAGAUACCCCGGUAGUCCUGGCCGUAAACGCUGAGUACUAGUGGGGAGGGACCUGCGUCCUUCCUCACGGAGCGAAAGUUUUAAGUACUCCGCCUGGGGAGUAUGGUCGCAAGGCUG
rnacentral:rRNA from 1 species